rnacentral:lncRNA from 1 species
UAAAAAUAACGAACUAUAAUGCAAAUAACUAACUAUAUGCAAUACGACACUAAAAUGCCCUCAAACUUAAACUAGACAUUGUCCUCAAUGGCUAAAAUAGAAAAAAUUAAAGUAGAGGACUUCCCUGAAAAUAUAGCUAUCUUCCUCCUUGUCCGCUAAGUUUGGAGAAUAGGCUAGGCACAUGGAACAAAUUGGGCACCACACUUGAAUUUGACUUGAAUAACCUGUAAACCAUGAUAGAAACAAUUUUAUUAAAUUCUAAAUAAAUGCAAAUUCAAAACUACUAAUAUAAAACUUAAUAAAAACUAAAAAUAAAAAUUAAACUUGGGUUGCCUCCCAAUAAGCGCUUGUUUUAUAGUCUCAGCCUGACUUCUUCAAUUCUCUAUCCAAUUCCCCUACAAAAAUUGAGGAACCCUCCAUCCAUCAGUAACAAUGUCUCUUUUGGGAGGUUCCCAUUAGUAAUGACCCUUGAAUGAAAGUCACCUAGCAUUGUAACGCCCCAGAAAAUCGAACAUUUUGUAAUUACUUUUAAUAAUGAAUAAAAUAAUAUUAUUUAUUAUUAUUACGUGUUGAGAAGAUGAAUGUAGUUCUAUAACCUAGAAACAUUGGAAUGUCGUAGUAUUUUAACUACGUGAGAGAAUUAAAGUGUUUGGAUUUCUAAGACAAAAAUAAAAGCUUUUCGAGAAAUUUUCCGAAAAAUACUAUUCAUCGAUUUCUGCUCGGGAAUUAUUUUUGAAUUUCUGAGAAAUACGUAACGUUAUAAUAUCAAGGCGAUAUUGAUUAUGUAAUAAUAAUCUAAGUAUGGAAAACGUAAUAUUUCGCAUGUGGACCUAAUUUGGGAACGUUAGGUUUAUUAAGCAUUAAGGAAAUAAAGUUGUGAUCGUAUAAUGUGUAUUCAUUAUAUGAAGGUAAUGGACGUAAGUAUAAUAUGACGUAUUAUACUAUUAAGAAUGGAGAAUGAAAUAACGUAUAUUGUGAAUUAAUAUAUGAGCUAGCAUACGAAGAUUAUACGUGGUGUAUAUAUGUUAAGUUAUGUAAUUUAAGGUAAUGGACUUGUAGGAUUAAUAGCCUAAUAUAGAAGUCUAAUAUAAUGUGACAAUCAAGCCCAAGUGUUUGAUAUAUCAUUAGUCCAAACUAUGUAGCACAAGCCCAUUAAGAAAGUAGUUAGAUUAAUUAUCAAAGCCCAAUGAAAAGCUUUGAUCCAUGGGUCAAACCAAGUAGGAAAUGGGUAAGCUUGAUGGGCAAGGUUUAUGUGUGGUGACCAAGUGAUGUGAUGAGCAAGUAUUGUGGCUAGCAAGUUACUUAAUGGCUAGGUUAUGAAUAGUAAGGAGGUGGGGGAUGAAGAGGUGGAAAUGAGGAGGUGGGAUGGUUUAAAGUCCAUUUUGCCCUAAACUUUGUUGGCCUAUAAAUAACAAGCUCAUUUCAAUUUUGUGGGGUGUUUUAAUUUCAUCCAACUCUUCUCAAAUAUAAGCUACUUAUUUGGUAGAGCAAAUAAGCACUUUUAAGUCAAAGUUAGAUUUUCCAAGAAGAAGAAGUUAGACUUCAAAGGUAAUGAUCUUGUGUCCAAUGUUCUUUCAUCUCUAUUAUGAUAGGAUGAUAAGGGAAGUGUUAUUAAUUAACAUGUAUGCUAAGAUCAUGUAAUAGGUUAAAAAGGAAUGAACUUAAGCUGAAUAAUUUGGAUAAGCAACUUGAACAUUAAUAAGUUGCUAGAACCAUGAUGAACUUAUCAUAUGUUGUCAUAUGAUGAUUAGUAUGUUGAAUAUAACAUAAGAACAUUGAUUAGUGGACUUAAGUUAUUAAUAAGUCAUGAGCAUGAAGAUUUAUAGUUCAUAAGUUGAAUAAGUCAUUAACUUAUGAGAAUAAGUCAAAACCUACUUUGUUUAUAAGUUGGUUUAAUAAGUAACUUGUAAUGAUCUUAUGUUGAUUAAAAUCCAUUUAGAUUCAUUAAGAUUGUAGUUUUACCGGAAUUCACACGAUUGGACGAUAAUCGUCGAAUCCGUGAAAUUCUCGGAAUAGAAGUCGUAUUUUGAGUUUGAAGUCGGAAACAUUGGUUUUCGAUGGAGACAAGUCGUAUUUGGCAUUAUAGAGUUGCGGACUCAAAAAUGACCGAAUUCCGACUUAGAACGAAGAAACGAGCAUUGAACGUCCACGGACGUUUAUCGUUUUCGUUAAAAAUGAACUAAUAGGUCAAAUUUUAUCAAACAAAGUCAAAUAGAUAAAAUUCUUGCAUGAACGCAUAGAGUACGUAAUUUGUGAACCGUAGACUUUUGAACGAGCCAAUUCGGACUUAUAACGAAGAAGUUAUGCGUCCGGGAAGUUCACAAAAUUUAAAAUCUAUAAAAUUUUUCUAAGGCACAGAGUUGGCGCCGCGGCGCCAACCCAAGGCCAAAAGGUGGCGCUGCAGCGCCAUAACAGUGUCGAGGCCUAUUGCUAACUCGCGUCGCGGCGCGAGAUGAAGAGCUAUAGGUGGCACCGCGGUGCCAGUCACAAGAAAUUGCUAGAAAAGAAUGUCUUCAAGUAUAGAAUGAAAGGGGACUUGAUAGUAAUGAAUUAAGAUAUAUGCAUAAAGUUGUUAACACAUUGUAAGACACUAAUGAAUGAACGAAUUAUGAAUGUCGUAAUGAAAGCCAAAAACCCAUAAUAGUAGAUCUAAGUCAGGAUUUACAUUGAGAUGAAGGGUAAGAUAUAAUAGUAUACAUACUUGAUUAUGUAUGACCUAAUGUGGUACGUUAUAUGAUCAUGUGUUGUAGAAACAUAGAAACUUAAAGUGUACAAGUGUUAAUCAGUAAGCAGACGCUAAAAGACAAGUAUUCUAACCCUUGUUCCAGUUUAGUCUGGACAAGUUUUGUAAUUCAUGUAUUCUUUCACAUGAAGUCUUGAAUGAUGAAGUCUUAAAGCCAAUUCUUUCGGCUAGACUUAUAUUAUGAUUCUGUCAAGCAUAAUUUAUGUUUACCGAGUUAUAUUGGUAUGGUUUUCAAUCGAAGACCAAGUAUGCUAAAAAUGUUUUUGUCGUUUAACGACAGGCACGUGAGGUUGCCACAACUUAAACGUAUACACGUUUAAUGAAUGUAGUGUUGAUCAACAUAGAGUACUAUGGGCUGAUCACCCAGAAGUGCUCGUAAGCUAUGCCAGACUUACGGAUGUAGUGCCGGGUUGUCCUUUUCAAAAGAAAUUAUAAACUGCUCAUAGUUCCGAGCCUUAGUUGAUAUUCUACUGAAUAUUGUUGUUGGAAAACGUUUUGAAUGAAAAGAAGUGCUAUUUUGAAUUAUCGAUAGUACUUCGUAACUAUUGUUCAGUUACUGAAGAUAUAUGAGUUCUAUGUUUCAAGCAUGUUGUUUAUUAGAAUUGUAGUACUUGCUGAGCUAGUCAUGCUAACUCUUGCUUGAACCAUAUGAACACAGCUAAGAUCGAGCGGACCGAAGGCUCAGGCAAGGACAAGGGCAAGGCGAAGACGAACCCUUAGAUUGCUUAUGUAAUAGAAUAGUUGAACGAUUUGUAAUAUAUUUGAUAUUAUGAUAAGAACAAACGAAUAGGUUACAAAGAACCUGGGGAAAGUAAUAUUAUUUUGAAUAUAUAGAAGUUAUAUUGGUCCUUUUGAGACUAUUUCAUGGAAUGAAUGAAUGAAUGGUAGUACCGUGUAGCACCAUCUGUCGGGUUGGAAGAUACCCGGAUUUGGGGGCGUCACAAGCAUGCUCUUUGUAGAUAUGUUUCCCAUUAAGAACGUCCAAAAACUAGGUGUUUUCUCCAUUAUGUCGAUGAUCUCCUUUUCUUGGUUCCCAAUUUUUCCCUCUCUUUCAACAUCUUGUGGCUCAUCUAGUUACAGAUUUUGUUCAGGCUCUCCAUCAGUCUCGGAAUCCAUGUUAUGGGCCAAGUGUAUUGAGGACAAAUGUUCGAGGCAUUGAUUGGUUGUUCCAUUUGGUUCGCAAAAUUUUGACUCGAUAUCUCUUGAUUAAUCCUCCUCUCCUCACUUGAAGCUAUGAACUUGGACAAAAUUUCCUCCAAAUUUGAAUGUUCCUCCUGUUGUAGUGGAGGUGGACACGAGAAAUCCGGUGGGUAUAUUGGACUUGGAGCAUAAAAUUGAUCUUGAUGAGUAUGGCUCCAUGAAAAAUCUGGGUGAUACCCCCAAUCCUGAUGAUAGUUGUUGGGAUAGACAUAAUUAUUGGGGUAAUCACCACCAUACUGUACCGGCUCAAAACUGAUGGCGCAUUGAUGACUCAUAUGAUUUUCAGCACAAUAAUCACAAGUAACCACCACACUUUGUCGACGUUGUACUGCAAAAGUGUCUAACCUCCUCGAAAGUGUCUCAGUCUGUGCUGACAAUGCAGAAAGUGUCGUGAGUACAUCAAUCUCUG